rnacentral:rRNA from 1 species
UACGGAGGGGGCGAGCGUUAUUCGGAAUUAUUGGGCGGAAAGGGCGCGUAGGCGGCUGAACAAGUCAAAGGUGAAAUCCCUCGGCUCAACUGAGGAACUGCCUUUGAAACUGUUCGGCUUGAGGCCGGGAGGGGGUAGCGGAAUUCCCAGUGUAGCGGUGAAAUGCGUAGAUAUUGGGAGGAACACCAGUGGCGAAGGCGGCUACCUGGACCGGUUCUGACGCUGAGGCGCGAAAGCGUGGGUAGCAAACAGG